CCUACGGGCGGCUGCAGUCGAGAAUAAUUCACAAUGGGGGCAACCCUGAUGGUGCAACGCCGCGUGGAGGAUGAAGGUCUUCGGAUUGUAAACUCCUGUCAUCUGGGAGUAAGGCAUGGUUGUUAAUAGCAAACAUGAUUGAUAGUACCAGAAGAGGAAGGGACGGCUAACUUCGUGCCAGCAGCCGCGGUAAUACGAAGGUCCCAAGCGUUGUUCGGAAUCACUGGGCGUAAAGGGAGCGUAGGCGGCGUGGUAAGUCAGAUGUGAAAUCCCGGGGCUCAACCCCGGAACUGCAUCCGAUACUGCCAUGCUAGAGGAUUGGAGAGGUAGCUGGAAUUCUUGGUGUAGCAGUGAAAUGCGUAGAGAUCAAGAGGAACACUCGUGGCGAAAGCGAGCUACUGGACAAUUCCUGACGCUGAGGCUCGAAGGCUAGGGUAGCGAAAGGGAUUAGAUACCCCAGUAGUC
rnacentral:rRNA from 1 species